UUGAAAGGAUGUAGGCAUGUAUCUUAGGCAAAUCCGGGGUACUCUAUGCUGAGAUCUGAUAGCAAGCUGUACUUGUAUAGCGAAGUGGUUGAUGCCAUGCUUCCAGGAAAAGUCUCUAAGCUUCAGUUACACAGGAAUCGUACCCGAAACCGACACAGGUGGUCAGGUCGAGUAGACCAAGGCGCUUGAGAGAACUCUGCUGAAGGAACUAGGCAAAAUGGUACCGUAACUUCGGGAGAAGGUACGCUGUUGUUGGUGAUGGAACUCGCUUCCUGAGCUGACGACAGCCGCAGAAACCAGGCCGCUGCAACUGUUUAUUAAAAACAUAGCACUCUGCAAACACGAAAGUGGACGUAUAGGGUGUGAUGCCUGCCCGGUGCUGGAAGGUUAAUUGAUGGGGUUAGCGUAAGCGAAGCUCUUAAUCGAAGCCCCAGUAAACGGCGGCCGUAACGAUAACGGUCCUAAGGUAGCGAAAUUCCUUGUCGGGUAAGUUCCGACCUGUACGAAUGGCAUAAUGAUGGCGGCGCUGUCUCCAGCAGAGGCUCAGUGAAAUCGAAAUCGCUGUGAAGAUGCAGUGUACCCGCGGCUAGACGGAAAGACCCCGCGAACCUUUACUGCAGCUUGACACUGAACUUUGACCUUACUUGUGUAGGAUAGGUGGGAGGCUUUGAAGCUGGAACGCUGGUUCCAGUGGAGCCGUCCUUGAAAUACCACCCUGGUAAUGUUGAGGUUCUAACUCUGUCCCGUGAUCCGGGACGAGGACCGUGUCUGGUGGGUAGUUUGACUGGGGCGGUCUCCUCCUAAAGAGUAACGGAGGAGUACGAAGGUGCGCUCAGCGUGGUCGGAAAUCACGCGUAGAGUAUAAAGGCAAAAGCGCGCUUAACUGCGAGACCCACAAGUCGAGCAGGUACGAAAGUAGGUCUUAGUGAUCCGGUGGUUCUGUAUGGAAGGGCCAUCGCUCAACGGAUAAAAGGUACUCUGGGGAUAACAGGCUGAUACCGCCCAAGAGUUCAUAUCGACGGCGGUGUUUGGCACCUCGAUGUCGGCUCAUCUCAUCCUGGGGCUGAAGCAGGUCCCAAGGGUAUGGCUGUUCGCCAUUUAAAGAGGUACGCGAGCUGGGUUUAGAACGUCGUGAGACAGUUCGGUCCCUAUCUACCGUGGGCGCUGGAAAUUUGAGAGGAUCUGCUCCUAGUACGAGAGGACCAGGGUGGACGAACCUCUGGUGUACCGGUUGUGACGCCAGUCGCAUCGCCGGGUAGCUAUGUUCGGAAGGGAUAACCGCUGAAAGCAUCUAAGCGGGAAGCCUA
rnacentral:rRNA from 1 species